rnacentral:rRNA from 1 species
UACGUAGGGGGCAAGCGUUGUCCGGAUUUAUUGGGCGUAAAAGGCUUGUAGGUGGCCACGCCAAGUCGGAUGUGAAAUCUCCCGGCUCAACUGGGAGGGGUCAUUCGAUACUGGUGGGCUCGAGGCCGGUAGGGGGAAGCGGAAUUCCCGGUGUAGUGGUGGAAUGCGUAGAUAUCGGGAGGAACACCAGUGGCGAAGGCGGCUUCCUGGACCGGGUUCUGACACUGAGGAGCGAAAGUGUGGGGAGCGAUCCGG